AUUGAACGCUGGCGGCAGGCCUAACACAUGCAAGUCGAACGAGUGGCGGACGGGUGAGUAAUGUCUGGGAAACUGCCUGCUGGAGGGGGAUAACUACUGGAACCGGUAGCUAAUCCCGCAUACCAUCGGAUGUUCCCAGAUGGGAUGAGCUAGUAGGUGGGGUAAUGGCUCACCUAGGGGACGAUCCCUAGCUGGUCUGAGAGGAUGACCGGCCACACUGGAACGGAGACACGGGCCAGACGCCUACGGGAGGGAGCAGAGGGGAAUAUGGCACAAUGGGCGAGAGCAUUAUGCAGCGAUGCGGAGUGUAUGAAGAAGGCCUUCGGGUGGUAAAGAAGUUUCAGCGGGGAGGCGUUACCCGCAGAAGAAGCACCGGCUAACUACGUGCCAGCAGCCGCGGUAAUUC
rnacentral:rRNA from 1 species